GACGAACGCUGGCGGCGUGCUUAACACAUGCAAGUCGAACGGUAAGGCUCCAGCUUGCUGGGGUACACGAGUGGCGAACGGGUGAGUAACACGUGGGUGACCUGCCCUGCACUUCGGGAUAAGCCCGGGAAACUGGGGCUAAUACCGGAUAGGACCGCCCCGUGAGGGUGUGGUGGAAAGUUUUUUCGGCGUGGGAUGGGCGCGCGGCCUAUGAGCUUGUUGGUGGGGUAGUGGACUACGACGGCGGCGAGGGGUAGCCGGCCUGGGAGGGGGGACGGCCACAUGGGGACUGCGGGAGGGCCCAGAGGCGUAUGGGGGGCAGUGGGGGGGAGUAUGGUAAAAUGGGGGGACGUGUGUGGAGGCGACGCCGGGUGGGGGAUGACGUCUCUGGGGGGGGAAACCGAGUAAACCUGCGACGAAGGGUGAGUGACGGUAAAGGGAGAAGAAGCACCGGCUAACUACGUG
rnacentral:rRNA from 1 species